AGCGUAGGCGGACUUUUAAGUGAGAUGUGAAAUACCCGGGCUCAACUUGGGUGCUGCAUUUCAAACUGGAAGUCUAGAGUGCAGGAGAGGAAAGCGGAAUUCCUAGUGUAGCGGUGAAAUGCGUAGAGAUUAGGAAGAACACCAGUGGCGAAGGCGGCUUUCUGGACUGUAACUGACGCUGAGGCUCGAAAGUAUGGGGAUCAAACAGGAUUAGAUACCCCUGUA
rnacentral:rRNA from 1 species